rnacentral:rRNA from 1 species
UACGGGGGGAGCAAGCGUUGUUCGGAUUUACUGGGCGUAAAGGGCGCGUAGGCGGCGUGACAAGUCACUUGUGAAAUCUCCGGGCUUAACUCGGAACGGUCAAGUGAUACUGUCGUGCUAGAGUACAGAAGGGGCAACUGGAAUUCUCGGUGUAGCGGUGAAAUGCGUAGAUAUCGAGAGGAACACCAGUGGCGAAGGCGGUGCUCUGGGCCGGAACUGACGCUGAGGCGCGAAAGCGUGGGGAGCAAACAGG